AGCUGAUCCUUCACCACAACCACGGCAACGGCAGAGGCUUAUCACUCACUACGACAGACUUGAGGGGUUCUCUGCCAUCUGAUCCUUCACCGCAACGUGGAGACUGAUCUCUCACCGCAACACAGAGGCUGAUCUCUCAUGAUCUCUCACCACGACACGAGCCUCCUGCCUUCCGAUCCUUCACUACAGACCGUUUGCUGACGGACUUCCCUGGGCCUGCUACCUGAGACCUGCUGCUUCCUCCCUGACCUGCACCCUCUCGUUGCCCAAGACCGGCCUCGCUGCUCCUGCCCUUCGGCCUCGGACCGUCGGAACGUCGUGCAACGGGACUGCUGCCGGAUCCUGGUGGUGAGUGUUGAGAUAGACAAUAGUCACACAAGAGAAGUUGUCUCACUCAACUGCAUCUGAAUUACCCAUAAGAAAAUCCUAUGCUGAUUACUCCUUGUAACAUGCUUUUCUGUGUAAAUAACAACACUGGUACUUACUGUCAUUGCAAAAGUACUGGAAACACUAUUAUGCUCCUAGCAAGUCAGCAAGAAGUAAAGCCUUCCAGUAUUUUCCACUUCUGGAAUGUACUUCCUAUUGUUGUUCCAGUAGAAAUGACCUUCCCAUGACAUCUGUCUUCCAGACUCCAAGCAAGUAUCAUCAGACAUUCACCUACUUCACAAGACCAGACGCCAUGCCUAGAAAAUACAUAUUCAUUCUUUUGUAGAAAUGUAUUUUCCAGUCUAGCAAUCUGAGACCUUUUAAAAUAUUUUUACUGCCUACUGGCAAUCUGUUAGUGGAAGAAAAUUGUGAUUUUCAACAGUUACAUGAUCCAGAUAUAUUUAUAAUGAAAAUAAAAUCAUCCACAUCUUUAAAAAUAUAGGGUUUGCUUGUAGUAAAGAAAAUCCAACCAUACUGAGCCUAUAGUCUACUGGGUUUUAAUUAUUUUUUUUUUUUCUAUCUUCUCAAUAGCAACACAGUUAGUUUUUAUGCAAGAAGAAUUAUUUUUUUUAUAUCCCAGCCGUCACAGUCUCUUAUGUCCUUUUCAGUCAACAUCUGAGAUUCAAAUAUUCAGAUAAAAAUACCAGAGUACCUAUACUUGCCCUGUUAACCUGUGAUGAACUUUUUAGGACUUGUUCCCCUCUAAAACAAAACAAUUAUUUCUUACUGAGAUACCUUCCUAACAAGCCCCUUCUGUCCUCAAAUGUAUGUAACUGGCUUGUGCUUAUGCUAAUUUGAUGCUGUAGGAUCCUAACCCCCUACCGAUACAACAAAUUUUAAAAUAUUAACAAAAUUGCUAUAAGCACUGCAAAAAAUGUGGAAUAAAAAGUUGCCAUUUUCCAAAUAUGCCAUUUUUGAAAGCAUGCUGUGGAAUUCUUGGUGUGUGCGUUCAUCUAAUAUCAACUUAUUUUCAAGAUAAUUAUGCAAUUUAAUAAAAGAAACUCUGCAGGAAUACAAUAUAUAUACAUAUAUAUAUAUAUAUUUAAUUUGUCCUCUCAAGUGGAAACAGAAGUAGCUUUUGGUUCCUUAAUCAACUGUGGUUUUCCAAUACUUUCCUACUUAAAUUUAGCAAAGCUUGCAUUUGCCCCUAAAGGAACUUGCAUACAGCUUGGUGCUCAGAAUGUUAGAAAAUGAAGAUACUCUGAGGUCAAUACCUAAAAAACAACUAUCUUUCCUCCAUUCCAGUUCAUUUCUUCUUUAUAAUUCACUAAUACACCCUAAAAUCAGUUUAUAAUACUUUGUACAUUUUCAAAUAACAAACUUCACACUUAUCCUGAUUUAAGUAGAAAUAAAGUAAUAAAUCAGUAUAAUUC
ensembl:lncRNA